GACGAACGCUGGCGGCGUGCCUAAUACAUGCCAGUCGAACGCUUCUUUCCUCCCGAGUGCUUGCACUCAAUUGGAAAGAGGAGUGGCGGACGGGUGAGUAACACGUGGGUAACCUACCCAUCAGAGGGGGAUAACACUUGGAAACAGGUGCUAAUACCGCAUAACAGUUUAUGCCGCAUGGCAUGAGAGUGAAAGGCGCUUUCGGGUGUCGCUGAUGGAUGGACCCGCGGUGCAUUAGCUAGUUGGUGAGGUAACGGCUCACCAAGGCCACGAUGCAUAGCCGACCUGAGAGGGUGAUCGGCCACACUGGGACUGAGACACGGCCCAGACUCCUACGGGAGGCAGCAGUAGGGAAUCUUCGGCAAUGGACGAAAGUCUGACCGAGCAACGCCGCGUGAGUGAAGAAGGUUUUCGGAUCGUAAAACUCUGUUGUUAGAGAAGAACAAGGACGUUAGUAACUGAACGUCCCCUGACGGUAUCUAACCAGAAAGCCACGGCUAACUACGUG
rnacentral:rRNA from 1 species